CACUUUAAACAUUACUAAAAGCUACUAAAUCUACAGCGUAGAUCCAAAACGACUCUUCGGAUCUACGAGUCGGCUCUGUUCGAUCUUCAUAAUCAGUUGAAUCAAAGAACCGAAGCAAAGAGCCGAUUCCUUUCUAAACGCGUGUACCUUGUCAGAGAAACUCGGAUUGGAUGAAUGUGGUAUUACUUUUAUUUUUCAGAGUGUCAAUUUAAAAGGUAGCUUUUGUUUUUUGUUUAUAUUAGAUAAUUAUCGGGCUAUAUAAACACCAAAUACAUGUUAUUGUUAGCAAAGAUCUGCAAGUCGACUCUCCGUUCAUGUCACACAGCAGACUGAUGGAACCGACUCUGAUGAACGACACAUCACAUACUUUACCUCAGGCUCUGUUUGUGCUUACAUCUUGAUCUUGGUGUAGAGCUGACUGAUUUGCUCUUUGAAGUGGUUCCUCAGUUCUGUUCUCUUGGCCUUCAGGGUGGGAGUGAGGAGGCCGUUCUGCACGGAGAACAGCUCAGUGCUCAGGGCGAUGUCUCUCACCUGUACACACACAGGAGAAAGAAAUUGGGGAAGUCAGUCUGUCACCAGAGAUGACCACCACAACCAUCAGCUGACCUGCUCAAACGAUUUCAGACCGCCUUCUUUCCCCAACCGCACCAUGUCCUCAAGAAUGGCAUUUUUCACUUCCUGUUAAAACAGGCCAAAAUGAGGAAGUCUCACUUAGCUCGAGGUAGGAGCCCACAAGUCCUCUCUUCUUUGCCCAUCCUGGGAGGAUGUCAGGGUCUGGACCUGUAGACUGUCUCCGUGAACAAAGGUUUGAGCCACAGGGUCACUAUGGAUAUAGAUGUUCUCAAUCUUCUCUGGAGCAACGUACUCGCCCUGAGCCAGCUUAAAGAUGUGCUUCUUCCUGUCUAUUAUCUUCAGAGUGCCAUUCUGUGACAUGAAGAUACCAUUAAAGAUCCUGCAAAUGUGA